AACAAAAACAUGUCCUUUAGAGAAGAGUUUAAGGUCUAACCUGCCCAUUGAGUAUUGUUAAAAGGCCGCAGUAUUUUGACUGUGCAAAGGUAGCAUAAUCAUUAGUUUUUUAAUUGAAAGCUUGUAUGAAUGGUUGGACGAGAUAUAAUCUGUCUUUAAAUUAUUAUUAGAAUUUGUUUUUUAAGUUAAAAAUCUUAAUUGAAAUUAAUAGACGAGAAGACCCUAUAGAUCUUUAUAAUUAUUUAGGUUUAAAUCUUUAGGAUUAUUAAUUUUUAUAUUUAUUUAUUUAUUUAGUUGGGGUAAUUAAAAGAUUAUAAUAAUUCUUUUUUUAUUAUACAUUUAUUAGUGGAAAAAUAAAGAUCCAAUAUUAUUGAUUAUAAGAUUAAGUUACCUUAGGGAUAACAGCGUAAUUUUUUUGGAGAGUUCUUAUCGAUAAAAAAGUUUGCGACCUCGAUGUUG
rnacentral:rRNA from 1 species